CAUUAGCAGAGUCUCAGACCUUAGCAACAGAAUCAAUAACAACAGGCUAACAUAAUUACACUGUAGAGGGCAGAUUGUGUCGGCUAUUACUUUAUUAAGAAAGAACAACAUGUGUGAAAGAACAGCAUCCUGCAAGGACGGAAGACUCGAGAGAAUGCAGGAAAGAGGGCAAGGCGGUUCACAAAUAUGCUGAAUUGAAAGAAUCAGGAUCACACCCUGAAAUAGCAGGAAAAUGAAUGUUUGCUUUCUCUGGCUUAUUAUUUGCUUAGUGAUACUUCAGCGUUUCUAAAAGAUAAAUGCCUUGGCUGUUGUUCUAUCAGUCUCUCUGCUUUAUUUAAUUUUACAAAGAGGAAUGCUCAGAUGUUAAAAUAUUUGUUCUCUUUUCACUUAGGAUUUGCUUCAUUUUCUACUCAAAAUGGAAUGACCCUCCGAGUUGUCUCCACUCCAGUAGGCUGUCCAGUAAAUUCUGUCUGCCAUGGUUCUUCUGGACGUCUAACUCCGUCUCCUUAACUCAGGGAGUCCUUUCCCUGGGUUCCCUGCAACACGCCCCGUCUCUUCAGUACAGCCUGGAAACGCUCUUCUGACGACACUCCUUAGGGUAAAGACAGACAACUGCCCAGGGAAAGGAUAGCUGAUUUUGGAACAAGGCUCUGACGGGGACUUUUCAUCAGGGUGCUUCAUAAAGAAGACACUGGGAGGUCGUGCUCAACUUCGUUGGCAGCAGGUAUCCUAAAUCCACUCCUGUGGCCUUAGCAGGCAUGGCUGCCCAGUGACCAGCCUGUGUUUAAUCAUCAGCCUGCUGAGGUGAUUUAUUUUGUAUCUUGUAUUUUUUAUUUUAUUUGUUUGCCUUCUGCUGAGUUCUGACCAGGCAGCGAUCCAUGUAACAAAAAGAUGAUAACAUUGUGAGAGGAGAACACGUGUAGAAUGUUAGCGGUCACUCAACAAGAGCUGGAGAUUUCUGAAAGACAGGGUGAGAAUACGUGAUGUUUAGAAACCACAAAUGGGACCCCUCCUCAGGUGGAAGCAUGUUUCCAAUCAAUCUGAACUAUGUGCUGUUGCAUGGGAAUAGACUUUUGAGAAGUAUGGGAUGAGGUGAUGAAGAAAAUUUACUGUGCUUAGGGAAGGCAAAUGAUUGGUAAAGUAUCUUAUCUAGGGUAGUUAAAAUACAUACACACACCAUACUUUGAUGAAUUCAGCCUAGGCACAGGGGCAUAAUUGACAUACCAGAGUCAACAAGGUGAGGAGUAGAAUAGGGGAAUCAAUUGUGGCAUAUUCAUACAAUGGCAUACAGCCACGUGCCAUAACAUGAGUUAAUCUCACAAACAUGUUGAGACCAAGAAAGAAGCCAGACAUAAAGGACUAUAGAUUUUUGAAUUCCAUUUAUAUGGAGUUCCAAACUAAGUAAAACUUAACAAGAGUAUUAGAAACUUGGAUCAUGGUUAGGAUCAUGGUUAACUUUGGGGAGAAGGGUGGGUGUUUUGACUCAUAAAAGACAUAAGCAAUAUUUCUGGGGGUGUCAGUAAUAUUCUCUCUCUACAUCUUAGUGAUGGUAACAUUGGCAUUUGCUCUGAGAAAUUCAUUGUGUGAUUCACUGAACUUCACAAUUACAUUCUGUGUACUUUUCUAUAUGUGUGUUUUAUUAAAAAAACAGCAAGAAAACUUUAUUUAAAAUUUUGAAUAGUGAAAAAUAUUUUAAAGCUCAGUUUUUAAAAUCAAAACAUGUUUAUUUUUAAAAUUAAAAGUGUAUAGAAUUAACCUACAGACAAUGGAAAGCAAUGUUAACUAUUUAACUAGAAUUUUGGAGAACAUUCUGCAAACACUCCCUUCACCUAAAUAUAUAUGUAUAAAAUGAAUAGAAUGUCAACUAUAAGUAGUUUCUGGCUAUUAAUGGAACGACUUCAGGUUAAUUGUAUAACUUAGUGUAUUUUUUUAGUGUUAUAAUGGGGAACUAAAUGUGUUUCAGAGAGUAAAACACUGAAAGAUUCAUUCGGGACCCUUGGUGAACGAAGGGGUUUUACUUUGUGUUCAGUUCUAUAUCUCCAGUUCUCAGAACAAUGUUUACGACAUAAUAGGUACCAGGUAAAUAGCUGUUGAAAAAGAGUAAAUGCGUAUUUGAGUAUUUUGCUCUCUGAGAGGAGAAGAUGGUGACCGUACUAGGGUGUGGCUGACAAUCUUACUUCAUGUCUAUUAAAUGCAGUGUUGCAAUUGUAAAUAAGUCUUUGCCUACUGGACAUUUUUGUCAUUCUCGUUGCCUUGGGAACAGAGAUGAGGCAGAAGAAAACAACACUGGCCAAAGGCAAGGGUGUGGAACAGCCUGGCUCUGUGUGGGGAAGAGUGAGUAAGGAAUUCCUUUUGGCUGAAGGGUAAGGGUUGGGGGGAAGGGAGGGAGUUAAGGAUGGAAGAUGGUAGAAAUCGUAAAGUUAGGAUAAGGCCACUGUGUGACAUUCAACAUCAAAUGAUAGCUCCACCCUUUUCAUUUGUGCUCACACAUGCCUGCAUGCCAUCAUUCCGGCCCCUAAUGCCACAGUGAAGGCCAAUGAGAUGAACGGGCCCCAUGGUAGUUUAUGUUCAAUUUUCCUGAAACCUGCAAAGCUUUUUCUAGAAUGUAUCUGGGUGUCUAGAGAACAUCAAGAUAACUGGGAGAAAAAGGAUCUGAUUGCUGCUGUGUGGUAAUAAAUGCUUGAUUCACUCUUUCAUUCAUUCAAAAUGGGUCUACUUUUCAAUGAGUAAAUGUCUGAAGGUUGCAGGCAUCUCCAAGACUCAGUCUUAGCUCUGGCCAUCGCUCAAAACCACAAGACUUUUGGGGCACGUGGGUGGCUCAGUUGGUUAAGCAUCAAACUUCGGCUCAGGUCAUGAUCUCAUGGCUCGUAGGUUCGAGCCCCGUGUCAGGCUCUGUGCUGACAGCUCAGCCUGGAG